AUCGACAUUUCGAACGCACAUUGCGGUCCUCGGAUACUGUUCCUGGACCACUCCUGGCUGAGGGUCGCAUCCAUCAGACUGCCGACAUGAUUUCUUGUGUCGAGCGCAAUUGAGAGUUCGCACGGGUUCCCGUACGGGUCCUUCUGGCGUCUCUUUAAAUCACAUAACUGUCGUUUCCGAGCGCUACUUUUGCGUCAGGUUCGACUUUGCGAGCGUCGGCGCUUUGCGCCCGUACGGUUCCGCGUUUAGCGCGAGGCCGCCCGGCUGACGUGUCCUAGACUACUUUGACUAGAAGACGUCUGGCUGUGAUGCCGGCCCGCGUGCGGAGCAUUUCAACGUACGGACGCACACUCGACAGUGCCACGCGUCAAUAUUUUGCUUAUGCGACCUCAGAGCAGGUGAGAC
rnacentral:misc_RNA from 1 species